rnacentral:lncRNA from 1 species
GUAAGAAAAUGGCGUUUGAAAAUGUUGAUUCAAUUCAAUUGAAUAAACUGGAACUUGGUUUCUAUCUAGUUUAGCUUCUCGAUUGCAUUCCGAGAAACAGAAUGUUGGCAUGUUUGAAAAAAAGGGAAGAGCGUCUUUAGAUGGCCAGGACGAAAAAAGAAGAGCUGAAAAAGGAAAAUGUUAACGACGUAAAUUUGUUCUCUUUUUCUGUGUGUUGGCGCUCGUGCAGUCGUACCCCCCCCCCCCUCCCCCUUUCCUCUGGACAGGUCUGAACUUGUGUGACCUUGUAUGAGCCCACACACCUCCUCGGUUUGCUAAAAUGUACCCAACCAUUACACUCCCACCACCUCACUUAACCCUUUCACACCUCUAGGAUUUAUUUUCGCAUUGUCGCCCUUCUUUUGUUUUAUCCCCUCAUUAACUUCCGCCCUUGGUCGAAGACUGAGGGAGAAGAAGCAGCGAGGGUAGUCUGGAUCGUUGGCGUGGUGGACAUUGGUGGCUAACAAAUACGAACCAAAAGAGUCAAGUAAAAACAAAAAAUUAAGUGACGAACGCCGUCAGCGACAUGGGAGUCGUUUCAUCAUUACGUGUGAUUUACGCCCCACAAACGAUACGAUAUCGAGUCAGCACUGUCGGAGUGAGAGAGAGCAAGAACGAACACGUUACACGGCUAAAGUUUGACUCGUACGGCGACCGGGAGGAACCGCCAAGCCGACCAAUGCGGAUGAAAAUGAAUUCCCGGCCCGUCUGAUAAUAACAAUAAAAACAAUCAGAAAUUCUACGACUGUGCAACAACAACAAGAGGCGCAAGGCAACAACAGCAGGGCGUGAUGUUUUUACUUGGCGUUUGCGUUUCUGCUACGACCUACCAUAAGAGAUUACGUCAAAGAGAAACUCGCAACAGACAAAUCGGCGGGGCAACCUGGUUCGGCACAGUGAAAGGUGCGAUUCGCUUUGUGGGUCGUGCUCGCCUUUUUCUAUCUAGAGAAAAACGUUGUGCGCGAGAAAUUCGACGUAACGUGAAACUGGCCGUGCGCACACCGAAGCCGUGGAACGAAGAAAAAGGGAAAUAGAACGAAAGAAAGGCUCGACAGUCAGCCUUUAGCGAUUCGAAAACGUUGCAGAGAUGGCGCGUCGUGACGGCGGAGAAAUAGAAGAACAAGAAAUAUGAACUCUAUCGCGAGAGGCUGCGAGAAAAACGGGCAAGAAAAAGGAGAAAUCAUUAAAUAUUCUAUGCACGAUGGGGCGCGCAUCUUUUAGUUGUUGUCAUUCCGUUUCGUUUUUGUUUGGGGAACGCAUGCGGGACGGGCCGCGCCGCUGCUGAAAUGGGCUACGCAGCGAAAGGCGAAAUGUGCACAACAAAUGGGAAGCGGCCAACGGGAGAAGAGGAGCAGCAACGGCGGCGAACGACAGGCGGCGGCAAGGUGAUAUACAAUAAUAUGCUAAUGCAAUGGUGGACGAUGGACGACUGCUGCACUUUUGUACGCAUAAAUACCACUGGAAGCGAAUGGAAGGAAGUGUCCACCACUGCACGGCAUCGGACGAGACACAACAGAAAUCGAGUGGGUCAGUGGAUGAUGCGACCGGUCGCUCGUCCACGACAUUCCACAACGUCAUCAAAACGAAAACAGAAAAAUAAACAGGGAAAAAGAGAAAAUUCCUUUGCUCAAUCGACUCGUUUUCUCUCCAUUGCUCAAUGUCGUCGAUAUCACAUUCCGAGCCGACAGCCGAUUACCUUAAUCCAGCAGCAGCAGCAGCUAAAGAAAUGCAGCAGCCACGGUCAACAACAGUCGGUCAAUGGCAUCGUUCGAACCGAUUCUUCAACACCCCACGGUUCAACAUUCCUAACUCUACGUCUCUUUCUUUUUUCUUUUUGGAUUCUUUUUGAUCAGACAAGUAAGGGUUUCAACUUGGGACUUGCUAUAUGGUUCACGGACCAAGUUAUUGCAUUGCCUGAUUGGACCUGACGGGGAAACAACAACAAAAAAUGCGAGACGGCGGAUACCUAGGAUCAUCUUCAACCGAUGAUUUAGACUCGAAUAACACAUCAGACAAGCCAAAUAGCGAAUUGAUGUUGGAAAUAUGGACGGAUGCAUCGUACAUUUUGUGUAACGAUUCAUAGAACAAAAGAAUGACUGACCUCGCAAGAGCACUGAACGCACUGAUCGGGGUGUUCCGGUUUGAGGCCGACGUUAGAAGAAGUGAAACGCUCCUUGUGACGAUAGACGUUGCCAUUAUGCAAACAGGUGACGCCAGGUGACGUCGAACUGCCACUCAGAUCCGAAGAGGAGAAAGAAGAGACUGGAACUUCAUCUGGAUAGAGAGAUGCGGGACGUGUUGACGCGGCCAUCAAAGUCGAUGAUUUUGCCUCUUCUUCGUCGCCAGCCGAAAACGAACACGGAUAAAAUAAUUGAACGUUUUGAUCAUUAUUAAAUUAGCACCAUCUUCUUUGAUGACGCAUAAAGGGGCGUGCCAACAACCAAAAGCAACAACUAAUUUGAACGAAAGGCAAGGUGGGAUCUACAUUUCCGACAUCGUCUGGGUGUGAUGCAAACCAGUGGUGAAAAUUCAAGAUUCUUCACUCGUUUUCUCACCGCAGUUUUUGUCAAUUUAGCAAACAUAAAAGCGAUAUAAAUGCAAUGCGUGAAUCUACUAAUUGGUUCACGCCUACAUUCAAUCGAGAAACGAGUCACCUACUUGCGCAGUGGAUGCAGCAUUCGUUAGUGGCGGCAGAUUCGGGCGACGUGCACUCCUCUCCGCCGCAUUCGUGGAUGGUGCAGUUGAUUUUACCGCCCUUUUUUUUAACGCCAAUGCACAGAAAAUCAGCGCAAAAUCCUCGGCUAUUUGUCGACUGUAAAUGACUUUACCUCUUGGCAAAUGCAAGCGACGCAAUGAAGGGCUCCUCGUUGACCGAGUCGUGGGUACCAGACGUCGCCGACCGCGUAAUUCCUCGACGUAAAAGUGCAAGUUGUUGCUGCCGAUGUAUCAGUCGCCGUGACAAGUCCCGACCAAGUUCCUAUUCAAUAUCCAGGGCACGAAACGCCUUAUGUCUCGUGUUACAUUACGGGUGGUCACGCCAUUUUAUAGACGAGACCAGACGAAGCAGAUCCGGUCGACAACACGAUUCUUCUGUUUGUACCUUGUAGACGUGUGUGUGUGUGUACUUUUCUGGCGUCUAGCUCGCGGCUGGUGUUUGGCUGUUGAUUGUGAAAAUGACAACAGCCUUCCUAGUCUACCUCCCGCGUGAUACGUAACCGUGGGUUAAGCAGCUUUAAUCGUUAAACAGCACCAGUUGUAAUCAAUCAAGCUAUUAAUCAAGGCCGUAACACGUUUCGUAAAGUCAAUUCGAGAAACAACCCUGACGGGUUAACGUGACGGGUGAAUCGGACGGGAUUUCCCCGUUUUGACUGUGAAUCAGACAGUUCGCCAACUGCUAAAGUUGAAGCCACGUUGGCGGUAUCGUACCAUUACUGCUUGGUAGCCAACCCUGUCAAAUGAGCUGGGCUGAAACAAUAGCAACACUUGCGCCAACACCUGCCGGAUCUUGAAUAACCAUCGCAACACGAAACAAAAAGGGAAAAAAUGGCCUUGCUAGAGGCAGACUCACAAACCGCUGCCAAUACAGUUGGCGUGAAUCGUUGGUGGAUGUGUUCGGCGAAGGAGAUGCGCCGAUUUGCAAUUCUUCUCCAAGCACAGCCCAAACAAAAAUUCACGCCAGCUGAAUGGAUUAAAAAUAAAGUAUAAAUCCAUCAGUCUAAUAAUAGAUUACAAGACCCAGUAGUAAUGCACCCGAAUGCAUUUCUAUUUUGUUUGCUUAUUUAUUUGGUUUUGCAAACACUGAAGUGGUCGACUUGUCUCUGGUUCUCAGCAUCCAGUCAACCGCAGCCAUUGUCUUGCGUUGGAUGAUGAUGGAUCAUUGUUUUCGUAUCCAAAGAAACGACCGAGCGGGGCGUGGUCGGCUCAUCCACUGGCGUGCUGCUCAAUUGCGGAAUGAUGGCAAUAUCUAUGCAACACACCCUUUGCUUUUCUACUAUUAAGACGGUCUAUUUAUAGAGAAUUCUCAGUAUUGCAUUGGCGGAUGAUUGUGUAGUGCGGUGUUUCUCGGAACCAAGUCUGCCAUCCUCUUACUCACCCAACAGCAUUUUGUCGUUAAAAAUCUGCCAAUUUUCGCCAUUCAAGUCUAAUUGAUGUUGAUUAGUUUUUUUGCUUUCCAAUUGCAUGUCUUAAUCUCGGGUCGUUUUAUUAUUUUAGCAGCGUGCUGUCCUUCUUGAACUGAAAGAAAAGAGUCGACUUUCGGGUCAGCACAAUUCUAUUUUCAGCCCCACGCGCAUCGUUGCAUCUUCCCUUUGUCUUGUCUUGCGGCUUUCACGCAGUUGACGACAUCAACCCGUUUCACGACCUCACCAAAUGUUUUGCUUUUGCGCUGCCCAAAGCCAAGUCCAAUAUAAGAGGAAUAACAAGUU